rnacentral:misc_RNA from 1 species
AACGCACAUUGCGCCCCUUGGUAUUCCGAGGGGCAUGCCUGUUCGAGCGUCAUUUCAACCCUCAAGCACAGCUUGGUCUUGGGCCCCGCUGCUCACCCAGCGGGCCUUAAAAUCAGUGGCGGUGCCGUCGGGCCCUGAGCGUAGUAAAUCUCCUCGCUAUAGGGCCCCGGCGGAUGCUGGCCAGCAACCCCCAACUUUCUGUGGUUGACCUCGGAUCAGGUAGGGAUACCCGCUGAACUUAA